AUUGAACGCUGGCGGCAUGCUUUACACAUGCAAGUCGAACGGUAACAGGCCGCAAGGUGCUGACGAGUGGCGAACGGGUGAGUAAUGCAUCGGAACGUGCCCAGUCGUGGGGGAUAACGCAGCGAAAGCUGCGCUAAUACCGCAUACGAUCUAUGGAUGAAAGCGGGGGACCGUAAGGCCUCGCGCGAUUGGAGCGGCCGGUUUCAGAUUAGGUAUUUGGUGAGGUAAAGGCUCACCAAGCCGACGAUCUGUAGCUGGUCUGUGAGGACGACCAGCCACACUGGGACUGAGACACGGCCCAGACUCCUACGGGAGGCAGCAGUGGGGAAUUUUGGACAAUGGGGGCAACCCUGAUCCAGCAAUGCCGCGUGCAGGAAGAAGGCCUUCGGGUUGUAAACUGCUUUUGUACGGAACGAAACGGCCCUGGUUAAUACCUGGGGCUAAUGACGGUACCGUAAGAAUAAGCACCGGCUAACUACGUGCCAGCCGCCGCAGUAAAAC
rnacentral:rRNA from 1 species